CUCGUAGGCGGCCAACUAAGUCGGAUGUGAAAUCCCCAAGCUUAACUUGGGAACUGCAUCCGAUACUGGAUGGCUUGAAUCCGGGAGAGGGAUGCAGAAUUCCAGGUGUAGCGGUGAAAUGCGUAGAUAUCUGGAGGAAUACCGGUGGCGAAGGCGGCAUCCUGGACCGCAUUGACGCUGAUGAGCGAAAGCUAGGGGAGCAAACG
rnacentral:rRNA from 1 species